GACGAACGCUGGCGGCGUGCUUAACACAUGCAAGUCGAACGGAAAGGCCCUGCUUUUGUGGGGUGCUCGAGUGGCGAACGGGUGAGUAACACGUGAGUAACCUGCCCUUGACUUUGGGAUAACUUCAGGAAACUGGGGCUAAUACCGGAUAGGAGCUCCUGCUGCAUGGUGGGGGUUGGAAAGUUUCGGCGGUUGGGGAUGGACUCGCGGCUUAUCAGCUUGUUGGUGGGGUAGUGGCUUACCAAGGCUUUGACGGGUAGCCGGCCUGAGAGGGUGACCGGCCAAAUUGGGAAUGAGAAACGGCCCAGACUCCUACGGGAGGCAGCAGUGGGGAAUAUUGCACAAUGGGCGGAAGCCUGAUGCAGCAACGCCGCGUGCGGGAUGACGGCCUUCGGGUUGUAAACCGCUUUCGCCUGUGACGAAGCGUGAGUGACGGUAAUGGGUAAAGAAGCACCGGCUAACUACGUG
rnacentral:rRNA from 1 species